UACGUAGGGUGCAAGCGUUGUCCGGAAUUAUUGGGCGUAAGGAGCUUGUAGGCGGUUUGUCGCGUCUGCUGUGAAAUUUCGGGGCUCAACCCCGAACUUGCAGUGGGUACGGGCAGACUAGAGUGUGGUAGGGGAGACUGGAAUUCCUGGUGUAGCGGUGAAAUGCGCAGAUAUCAGGAGGAACACCGAUGGCGAAGGCAGGUCUCUGGGCCAUUACUGACGCUGAGAAGCGAAAGCGUGGGGAGCGAACAGG
rnacentral:rRNA from 1 species